GUUUCUGUCUAUACUUGUCUUUAUUUUACUUUCUUUAUUUUAUAACAUAUUUUUCUUUUUGGUAUUGCUUCCAGUUUUAUUUUUCCCUCUAAAUUCUCUCCCGCUACCUUCAACGAAAUACGCUAAAUUGGCCAAAUAGUAUACCCUUGAAAUCGGUCAAACAGUGUAUGCUUGAAAUCGGCACCAAGAAUCUCUAUCUCCCUAUAUCUCAACCGGAAACUAAAAUCGUCGGCUCUAUCACAGUCGCAGACACCUUCACAAUCGCCGGUUUCGAGAUUGUUACUGGCAUCAUUCUCCUUCACUUUCUUAUCUUCAUCGUCAAAGAAUCAUCCAAAGGCAAUAGGGGGCGAAAUGUGAUAGAUUAGAGCGAAAAAGGAGAAAAGUUAAAAAUGUCGAUUUCCAGGGCCCCAAUUUCCAGAAUGUUUAUUUUUUCAGUGCCAGGGCUAGUGCCCCACGCUACCCUGGGUGCAGGUGAUGGGAAACAUCUCCUACUUCGCUUGGGACAAGGUUAUUUCGGUCCGAGACCCUCCCCCAAACUUGUAUAAAAGCAAGUCUAAACCUAUUUUGGAGGAUAUCUAAUAUACUUUGAAAGAGAAUUCAUAUGGAGGAACACACACCACGCUUGGAGGAGAUUCCUAACUAGUUUUUCUUCUCUUCUCUUCCUUUAAUUUCAUAGUUUCUUAGU